rnacentral:rRNA from 1 species
CAGCAGCCGCGGGAAAACGUAGGUGGCAAGCGUUGUCCGGAAUUAUUGGGCGUAAAGCGCGCGCAGGCGGUUUCUUAAGUCUGAUGUGAAAGCCCCCGGCUUAACCGGGGAGGGUCAUUGGAAACUGGAAGACUUAGAGUGCAGAAGAGGAGAGUGGAAUUCCAUGUGUAGCGGUGAAAUGCGUAGAUAUAUGGAGGAACACCAGUGGCGAAGGCGACUCUCUGGUCUGUAACUGACGCUGAGGCGCGAAAGCGUGGGGAGCAAACAGGAUUAGAUACCCGAGUAGUCCCUGUCUCUUAUA